UACGGAGGGUGCAAGCGUUGUCCGGAAUCACUGGGCGUAAAGGGCGCGUAGGCGGCCCGGUAAGUAGGGGGGUGAAAUCCUGCGGCUUAACCGCAGGGCUGCCUUCUAAACUGUCGGGCUCGAGCACGGUAGAGGCAGAUGGAAUUCCCAGUGUAGUGGUGAAAUACGUAGAGAUUGGGAAGAACACCAGUGGCGAAGGCGGCUAUCUGGACGGUUUCUGACACUAAGACUCGAAAGCGUGGGGAGCAAACAGG
rnacentral:rRNA from 1 species